UCUGGGGAAGGUUUUGAAGUUCCAACUGUCUGGGCACUUCUCUCCUGGAAGGGCCUGAGGUUGGAGGCUUGGAAAAACAGGUUUCUGCUUCUCCUGAUAACAAAUGAAGGGAAGAAUCUUUUAAACUGGCUGCUGGCAGCUUGAGUAAAGAAGAUUGAGGACACACUUCACCACUGGACCUAUUUGGACAGUUAUCAACUGAAGAUCCUGGCCCAUUUGAUUGGACUCCAUUUAUGGAGGAAAAGAAGAUCAAAGAAAGGAGAAAUUAUCUGCUUGAGUUCAGUGGUACAAUAACUAACUGUCAAGACUAGAGAGUGCUAGGUCAAGAUGGCUCCAGAGUAGAGACAGAGCUCUUCUUCUCAUCUCCACCAAUUGAGACAGAGUGCCUCAAAACAACAAAACCAAAAUCAAAUGAGUGAAGGAGUUCCACGGUAGGGCACAGCACAGAAGGCAGGCAAAGUUAAGGCAUUUUAACACUAUAAGGGGGUGAAAUUUCCUUCACCAAGGGGUGAGCUCAUCACUCCUCCCCCACUUCACCUACCUUUCCAGAGCCUGAGAAGAGCAUGGGACAAACUUCUAAGUUCUAGAACAGAGGCUGGCUGAGGUCAACACAGAUUUACCCCUAAGAGAAACUAGAAUUAGAACAAUGGGAGUCUGAGGAAAGAUGGAGAUAGGCUUUGGAACAUGGAGAAAAGGGGCAUCUCACAGCAAAACACCACAGAUAACUGAAAAAAGUCCUCAGGCUAAUCCUUUACAGCUCUCAAUACAGAGACUUCCCUACACUCCACACCCAGACCUCUUCCUAGGCAAUCUUUAAGUUCUGAGGGGCUGGAUGUGCCACUAAGGGCAGCUGGACACUGCUGAAGACUAGGAAAAAUAUCCUCAGGGAAGAAACCUCUCCAGAGUCCAAUACAAAGAUCACCCACAUUCCUCACUUAGACAACUGACCAGGAAGGAACAAGGCAAUGGCCACCAACUCCCAUGAACUAAAAUCCAGAAACACCAAAAACAACAAGAAGAAAACUUUGACCCUUGAUAAUUUUUAUGCAGAAAAAACCCAGACUAAAGAAGAGACAGCAGAAGAUGACAAACAAUUAAACACACUCAAACCUUUGGAAAAAAAAUGGAAAUUGGUCACUAGUACUUGAAGACUUUAAAUCUGAGAUUGUCAGAAAAAUGGAAGAAACAUGGCAAGAAAAGUGGGAAAUAGUUCACAAAGAAAAUAACAGCUUAAAAGAAAUUACACUUGGAAAUUGAAGUCCAGAAAUCAAAUGAAAUAAUAAGCAAAUUGAAGACCAGAAACGACCUGAAAAGGAAAAUCAAAAGAUCUUAGCUUAAAACCAGUCAUUAAAAACUAGAAUCAGGAAAGUAGAAGCCAAUGAUCUCACAAGACAGCAAGAAUUAUUAAAGCAAAGUCAAAAGAAUGACAAAUUAGAAGGCAACACAAAGUAUCUCAUUGAAAAUAGAUCUCAGAGAAAUAAUAUGAGAAUAAUAGGCAUACCUGAAAAUCUGGAAACAAAGAGAAACCUUGACACCAUAUGACAAGAAAUUAUCUAAGAAAACUUCCCUGAGGUUCUGCAACAAGAAGACAAAAUAGAAAUUGAAAGAGUCCAUAGAUCACCCACUAAACUAAUUCCUCAAAAGACUACCCACAGGAAUGUAAUUGGCAAUUUCAAGAGCUUCCAAGCUAAGGAGAAAAUAUUACAAGAAACCAGAAAGAGGAAAUUCAGAUAUCAAAGAGCACCAAAAAGGAUUACACAGGAUCUGGCAGCCUCCACACUAAAAGAGCGCAAGGUGUAAUAAAAUGUAAUCUGUGUGGAAACUAUGUCUGGUUGUAAAAACUGGAUACUCUGGCUACUAAAGAGAACUGCUAGUAGGGAGACACCUGAGGCUGCUUAGCUGUAAUGGGGAUAGAUGAGAGAUGCUGCUUGAGAUAGAGAGAUUCUGCUACAGGGAAAUGCACUGGGUUUUGUCUACUGAUCUCCACUGAUGACUAGUAGAUCGAGAUAUUUCCUAACUUCCUCCUCCCUUCACUCCCUCCCUACUUCCACCAUCUCCCUUUCAGUUUCUUCUGAAGUUUGUGGCUUCACCUCCCCUCCCUGAGUGGACUAUGAUAUUUAUGAGGAAAACUGUCUUCCUUUAUUUUCUCAGGUAAGGGGUUUAUUGGGAUAACAGGACAAGGUAACUGAGGUGAGAGGGAUGAGGGUUUCCCUAAUCUAAAAUGAAGAUUAUGAGGGUUUUGGAAGUCACAGCUGUGACAGGGGGACAGUCACAGAGAGAUGGAGGAUAACUAUUAAGUCUUCUUUUUCUUCUUUCAAUUCACAAAGCCACCAAUGUCUCUCAGCCUAACUUCAGAAGCACCUCCAGCAUCCUUCAACCUGGGACAGAUACUAAUAGGAUUAGUUCAGCUUCUUCCCCCUUCCAGCCAGGCUUGCCUCCCUUGGUCAGAAAAAACCCAGAGCAAAAGUCCCAGUUUUUCUCUCCUUUAUCAGUCACCCCCACAGAGAGAGAAUCAAAUCCCAGUUUCUCUCCCUGGCCAGCUGCAACUGCCUUCUCCUGGGAACAUUCUGUUUGGAACCUUCACUUUGAUUUUGCAGAUCAGGUCCCCAGCUUUGUUUCUUGCAUGACUUGGCUUGUAAGUGCUCUCUCUCUCUUCAUGACUCUUACACAAAGGCUUGGAAUACAAUAUUUAUAAAGGCAAGAGAAUUGGGUCUACAAUCAAGGAUCACUUACCCAUCAAAAUUGACUAUAUACUUCAAGGGAAAGUAUGGGUAUUCAACAAAAUAGAAGACUUCCAAGUACUUGUAAAGGAAAGACCAGAGCUAAACAGAAAAUUUGACAUCAGAAUACAAAACCCAAGAGAAACAUGAAAAAGUAAAUAAGAAAGAGAGGGAUCUUAUUUUUUUUCCUUAAAGGGCCUCAAUAAGGUCAAAAUGUUUAUAUUCCUUUAUGGAAAAAUGUUAUUUGCAACUGUCAAAAAUUUUAUUCACUAUUAUAGUAGUUAGAAGAAUUAUCCUUAGGUAGAGAUUGGUGUACUAAGUGGGUUAAAAUCAUAUAUAAAAAAAGAAGAAAGAAAGGGGCGGUGGGGAGAAGAUGGCAGCAAGAGAAACUUGAAGGAAAAAGAAAAUUAAGCACAUGGGAGUGGGAGGAGAAGAAUAUAACUAUAAGAAGGAUAGGAAGAUAGUGCUAAAAGGUAAUACUGAAACCUUAUGCUUAGUGGAAACAAUUCCAAGAGGAAAGAACAUCUAGAUCCAUUGGGUUAUUGAAUUCUAUAUUACCCUAUAGGGAAGUUGAGAGGGGGAAACUAAGGGGGGAUGUCAGGGGAGUUAAAAAGGGGGAGGGAAAGCGAGAGGUGUUAUUAUUUUAUUUAUUUGUGGUUGGACUUUGAAUAUUUAUAUGGGUGGUCACCAGGAAUUUAAUUUCUAAAUCCCAAAAUGAAUUACUAAAAUAAGUGGAAUUUAUGGUCAUUUAUUUACAAUAUGUACAAUAGAUGGAAGGUAUUAAGUAAUGAGGGAGAGAGAGAAAACUCUGAUUUCUUCUGAUAUCAGUUAGAAUUUCUAAGCCGCAGCCAGAGGAAGAGAGUCUCAAGACGAUGGGACUCCAAGAAAAGCAGGGUAACUAUGUUAGCCUUUUACUCACCAACAGUGACAGUCUAAAUGGAAAGAAGUCUGGGUGUCUGUCUUCCAGUCUCUCCUCAAGGGUCUGUCUUCCAGUCUUUCCUCUAAGUCAGAGCCUCCAUCCAACCUGAAACUGGAAUCAAAUAUAUCUCCUCUUCUGGUCUUUCAUCCUAUUUUUAAAGAAUAUUUUUCUCUUAUAUCACCUCCCCUAAAUUUCAUGUCUAUCAGUCACAGCAGAUGCUUUUCUCCAGAAAUGCCCCCACUCUUUAGUUCUCACCUUCUUUGGUUAGAUUAUAUUUCUUUUGGUUACUUAACACCUUUUUUGGAAAAUUAAACUUUUGUAGUUACUUAAUACCUUUUUGUUGUUAAAAUGGGUAGAUGUACUUAAAAUACUGAGUUAUCACCUUUUUGUAGAUUAAAAUCUAAAAAUAUAUUGUGGAUUACAAUUCUAGCUUCACUAUAAAGGGAGAAUUAAGUACCUUCAUUGUUACAAUCAGGAGAUUAUAAUUUUAUCUUUACAAUAAAG